GUUUCUACAGGUUCACAGGAGCUAUGUUACCGUGCACUUUCUAUCUGAGACGGCUAGCUAAAUAAUUACAAUUGCGGCUUCUGAUGAUUUCUCUUUCCAAGAAGAGCUGGACGACAAAACAGUUUUUGAUGUUCUUUUACAUACAAAAAUAUGGGUAUUCUGCUCUAUUCAUUUGAGCUGGAAUACACUGAAGAGGAGUUGAGACAGUGAGAACAACAACUGCGAGACCAGCAAGCAGCGAUGGGGAACUAGGGUCAGCCACCGACUGGUGGUGCCUAUGCGGGUGCAUUCCAGCCAUGCCGACAGAAGAGGAGUGUCUGUGCUGAAACAAAUUUGAUCACGGACAGUUCUUACUGGAGAGUGGAAUGUGUGUGUGUGAUAGAACAUCAAAGUUUUGACGCGCAUAUGGAUAGAGUUGUGCUGGAGACAUUCUUCAGAACCUCCCCAUAAACUGACGGCGGCAGCCUAGACAAGCUGGAUCAGGAGGGCAAAUGAAAACACACUUUAUCUGGAUAUAGAUCUGCAGGACCUCCUCCGGCCCAAAAAAAGCUAAGUGACAUUAUGUCUUCUCAUUGCAGUUGCUUUACUCAGGAGAACUAUCGCCUGAUGGUGAGGAUAGCCAAGCUGCAAGACACAAUCGCUAGGCAAGGGCAAUGUAGGAAAGGAUGAUACAGCGUCUGUGCAACCAGUAAAUACAGGUAGUCUCAGCCUUCGGUAUCUAUGCUGCAAUAGUCUAUGUGCCGGGGGGCUAGGGUCAGUCUGUCCUAUCUGGUGUAUUUCUCCUGUCUUAUCUGGUGUCCUGUGUCAAUUUGAGUAUGCUCCCUCUAAUUCUCUCAUCUCUCUCUCUCUCUCCUCCCCCCUCCUGGAUGACCUGAGCCCUAGGACCAUACUUCAGGACUACCUGGCAUGAUGACUGCUGGCUGUCCCCGUCCCCAGUCCACCUGAUCGUGCUGCUGAUCCAGUUUCUGCUGUUUUGCCUGUGGCUAUGGAACCAUGACCUGUUCACCAGAUGUGCUACCCUCUCUCUCUCCCUCUCUCUCCCUCCCUCUCUACCGCACCUGCUGUCUCGAUCCCUCUGAAUGUUUGGCUAUGAAAAGCAAACUGACAUUUACUCCUGAGGUGCUGACCUGUUGCACCCUCGACAACCACUGUGAUUAUUAUUUGGCCCUGCUGGUCAUCUACGAACAGCACAGCCAGAAGAGGACUGGCCAUCCCUCAGAGCCUAGUUCCUCUCUAGGUUUCUUAUUAGGUUCCAGCCUUUCUAGGGAGUUUUUCGAAGCCACUGUGCUUCUACAUCUGCAUCCCUUGCUGUUAAGGGUUUUAGGCUGGGUUUCUGUAUAAGCACGUUGUGACAUCUGCUGAUGUAAAAAGUGCUUUAUAAAUAAAUGUGAUUGAUUGAUUGAGAUGUGUAAUAUUCUGCUUUGUGCUGCUACAGUAGAAAUACAGACAGUACACAAUGAUUAAGUCUAAUAGUGUUUUGUUAUUCUCUUACAGACAAUACCGCUUGUUGGCCUACAGAUUAUUUGGGGAGUUCUACGUGGGGAAAAAACUAGGCACAGGACACCUAAUCCCCUUGCCUGAGUGUUUUUUUGAGGCCAUUCCAGCAAUUCAAGACGAGAUGUGAAAGUUACAUAACAACAAUCUCCCCAUGUAUCAAAGUGACUACGAACACCUCACUGCACCACCCAAACACACCAUAUGCAAGUAUUCCUUUUGUAGAAUUGUAGUAUUUACUAUAGGUAUUAAUAGUAUAUUUUCUUCUACUGUAUACAUGUCCAUACAUGUCCAUACAUGUUCCUGCAUUCUACUGUGUAAACUCACCUCGGUCACCAGAGCAAAAAAAAAGUGUCUGGAAUACAAGCCAUGUCUACUUAUUUGCUCAUUUUCUUUUAAUCGAAAAAGGUUUAGUUGCCAAAUUAAAGUUGACAUGAUACACCAACUAUUUUGUUUUCAGUAACAUUGUAGCUAGUUACUUCCACAUACAUUUAAUGCAUAUCACAAUGAAUUGAUUCCGAAGUUGAAGUCUACACUUUACUGGUCUCUGAUGCAGCUGGAAUCAUUUAGUCGCUUGUCAGUACACUUGCAAAAAAUAUUAGACUGAUUUUGUAGAAAAAAUAUAUAACUGAAUAUUUAAAUUGAACCUUUAUUUAAGUCAGUUAAGAACAAAUUCUUAUUUACAUUGACAGCCUACCAGGGAACAGUGGGAUAACUGCCUUGUUCAGGGGCAGAAUGACAGAUUUGAUCCAGCAACCUUUCGGUUACUGGCCCCACGCUCUAACCACUAGGCAACCUGCCGCCCCCAAUAUGGGUGUUGUGUUGGCUGAAUGUUCCAAGUUCUUCAGCUGGUGAACCUCGUCUUGUGUUGGCCAAUGGCAGCUAGUCUGUAAGAACAACAUCAGCUCCAUGACCUUGGUCUCAUAGAUUAUAAUCAUUAUAAUCAUUGUACCUGAACUAUAAACAUGUAAACAUGUAUACGCAGGGCCCAGCUGUAAAAGAGACCUUGGUCUCAGUCUGUGUUCCUUGUUGAAAUAAAAGGUAUAAUAACAUACACUUUGGCCCCGUCUUUUCCUCUUCAGAGUCAGAUGUAUAUACUGCGUUCUAUACUUUUCUACUGUAUCUUAGUCUAUGCUGCUCUGACAUUGUUUGUCUAAAUAUGUAUAUAUUUUUAACUCCAUUCCUUUACUUAGAUGUGUGUGUAUUGGGGAUAUAUGUUGUGAAAUUAGAUUUGUGUGUAUUGGGUGUAUGUUGUGAAAUAGUUAGAUAUCACUUGUUAGAUAUUGCUGCACUGUCAGAACUAGAAGCACAAGCAUUUCGCUACACCCGCAAUAACAUCUGCUAAUCACGUGUACUUGACCAAUAAAAUUUAAUUUGAUGACGUUGAGCUUGCUGAAAACUUUCAUCCAAUGGGUCUACAGGAUUCGUAACUGACUUGCCUAGUUAAAUAAAGGUAAAAAAAAAAAAAAAAAGUAGAGGCAAUUACAUUCAGGACACAAGAGGGCGAUCUAACUGUGGUGUUGCACUAGGAAUCAAGGGAGUUCUGAGCUGGCUUCAUUAUUAAAACAGAGUCACUUGACAAAGUUGAAACAUUCUCAUGUACUUCCAUUUUCCCGCAUUUCAGAGAAAUAUUCCUUUAUUUGUCCAAACCGUGUGUCGAUGAGUUUUAUAAGGUGUGACAUUCUAUGUAAUGUGUAUCGGUCACAGGGUUAUAUUUUUUAUGAAAAUUCAAUGUAGCUAACAAGUUUCGUGAGCUAGGCUAGCUAGCUAUCGAGAGGGGCUGCUAGCUAGCUUCAAAAGGGUGCCGCCCAUACACCGGGAAUACGUGGUCAUAUCCAAGUAACAAUUUUGUGAUUUAUAUUAGAGUGAAUGUAUUGGACUACGUAAAAGUUACGUCAUUUCAUGGAUCAAGGGAGAUGCAGAACGUAGUUGGGCUGUUAUUACAGUAAUAUUCUGUCGUGGUUCUAUCAUCAGCCUUUUGAACUGUUGUCUCUUGCUGAUGUGGUCAUUAUAAAAUGACGCCGCCUGCUAUACAAAACUGGUAGACUGAAUGUUAGUGUGCUCAUGGAGGAGAUUGAAAUGCUGGUGUUUUUUUUUUUUUCAUUGGAUUAUUUUUGUUAUUUUGUGAAAUUCAAUCUGGGAUGAAUUUCCUAUUUAUGUAAACAUAUUUGAUAUAUGAAUAAUACUUUAUUAAACUUUAAAGUUGAAUCAUU